UACGUAGGUGGCAAGCGUUGUCCGGAAUUAUUGGGCGUAAAGCGCGCGCAGGCGGUCCUUUAAGUCUGAUGUGAAAGCCCACGGCUCAACCGUGGAGGGUCAUUGGAAACUGGGCAACUGGAGUGUAGGAGAGGAAAGUGGAAUUCCACGUGUAGCGGUGAAAUGCGUAGAGAUGUGGAGGAACACCAGUGGCGAAGGCGACUUUCUGGCCUAUAACUGACGCUGAGGCGCGAAAGCGUGGGGAGCAAACAGG
rnacentral:rRNA from 1 species